UAGCAUACUCAGAAUGAAGAUAGAAACAGCAACUUCUUUAUAGGAAAAGAUGGUUAAAGACAAAAGGACAAACAGCCAGAGAAAAGUCACAAUGUGAGGAAAGAAACUUUUAAAAGACAGAAAAAAGGUUGAGUAUAGAUUGAAUGCUCUAUGUCCUAUGACAGUUAAAUAUCUGAAAGUAUAACCAUUCAUGAAGAUUUUAUAAAUGCCAAUUUUUCCUUAGAGUUGCCAACAAAAAGAGGCAGACAGCACCAGUGUAGCAUGCUUUACUAUUUUAUUUAAAG
rnacentral:lncRNA from 1 species